GAGAGGUGGGGGGCGGCUUCCCGGGAGGAGGAAAGUCCCCCCACCGUUAACGGCGGGACGCCGCAAGGCGUCACGCCGAGAGGCGUGGCUCCGGCACAGAAACGACACCCGCUUGGGGAUACGCGAGGAGGCCGAAAGGCUGAGAUCACCCAAGCGGGAUGAAACGCGCCGUCCCCGCCGGUGCAAGGCGUAAGCCGCUGAGACGAAUGCCGCCUUAAACAGAAGGGGGCUUACCACCACCUCUC
rfam:Ferroglobus placidus DSM 10642, complete genome.